CAAUUGAAUAAAGACACGGCUUCCUUCCAUGCUCCUCGAUCUGUACGGUAUGGCGCCGCCGCCGGCCCGCCGGUCUUCUUCUCCGGCCGUCAGUGCCCUCUUUUCCUUCCCCUCAAUAUCCGCUCCUAAUCUUCUCCGGCGUCUCCCGCAGUCUCCUCAAUCUCCAACCUCUUGCUCCAGUGCUGUUCUUCUCUGAUUUGGAUCGAGUUGGAGUCCGUCUCCAACACAAAAUCAUGGAGUGCCCGAGCCGGAUUGGACUUGCCGGCCAUAAGAAGGAAGGAUCCUCCACUGCUUGCCUGCCUUGCGCCUCCCGGCGUUCUCGCGUCGCGGCUCGACCUGGCCCUUGCCCUGUCUCUCGCCAUCGGCUGCCAGGUCAGAGACCUCGCCUCGGUCCUCCUUCUUAGCGCCUGGGUCGCCAGCCACGCUCAGCCCCCUCCUUGGCUUCGAUCUGAUGGCCCUUCCCCAACCUCCUCGACCUCGACAGAUCCGGGAGGCCGCUGCUCGGUCAGGAAGGUGUGUUGUGAUGUCUGAAGUCCUCUUACUUCCACUAAGUUUCAGGUUUAACCUCUGUAUAAUCUCAACUCAAGCAAGUUUCGCGCAGCAAUUGAGGAGGCUUUCCUAGCCCAGCUUGUUUUUCUGAACUCCAAAUAGGUGGGUUUUUCUCUCUCUCGAGUAGUUUGUGGAUGAGCUUCCAUGUAUAGGCUUUGCUGACUACAGUUUUUUAAGGAUUAGAAAAUACAGAGUAUUCCUGUCCUGAUUGUACACAAGAGAAUAAUGAUAGUUGAACCUCGAAGGGGCAUAUGUGCUAGAGCGGCGGAAGCUUGUGAAGCCAUGGUCUGUGAUCUGCAGAUAUAUAGUAGGAACAAGUGCGAUUUGGAUUUCCUUUUUGUUUGUCUUAUGUGUCGCUUUGAGAUGAUGAGGCCGAGAUAUGGCCUUGCUGCUGUGCGUCAGAACCAUGGCUCGAAUGUGUGUUCCAGCCUCUAUCAGACCUGGCCUCUAAGCAUAUACUUCCAGUUUAGUUCAAUAAAGGAAAGCUUUCUCUUCAUGGUUUGCUCCUUAUGAUUCAAGAAGGAAGACCACUAGACACUUUUCUAUAAUUAGGUGAUGUAGUGAACCUUCAUCUUGCAGUCAAAUUGCUUACAUAUACUGCCUCUUCAUUUGCACCGUCGAAAAUUGCACAUGGGCUGAUUCAGACUUUGAGGGUUCAGAAAACAGCUUGAAGAGCCAAUCGGUAUGAAGGUGUUGCUCCUUUGUACCAGAUCGUAAAUAGAAGGGGACAUGGUUCAGAUUUGUGACUAUUGUGUGCUCUUGGACAGCCGAGGGAGUGGGUGUCAGAAGAGGGACGUUGGUGGUGUUCGAGAUGUAUCGGUGGUCAGCUGUUGGCAGGGCCCUCAUGGAGACACUGGACAAGAUGGUGCUCAGUGGUGUGCUCAGCCCCAAGCUCGCCUUAAGCAUCCUCCUGCAGUCCGUCCAUGAGAGGUUGGAGCACCAGGUCUAGCAAGGCAUUCUUCAAGUAAUUCAUCUCAUCCAGUAGGUUGAUUGUUUUUUUGGUAAGUCAUCUCAUCCAGUAGCUUGAUAGUAGGGCUGGUUUCUAUUGGUGCAUUACUUCGUAAAGAAAAUAAAUCACAUUGCAUUUACCCAAUGAUUUUUGUCCAGAACCAAUCAUAUUAUUUCUUUUCUACGAGUACUAUAUAUGUUGAUUAUUCAGAGGUCUCAUCUUCUUGAGACUUGCAAAGGUAAGACGUACGAAGAAUGAGAGAUGGUGCAAGUUUCUUAAGUUUAUCAUCCCAUUGAAGCAUCACAAAAUGCAAGUAGUACUAUUCAAAGGGGUGAAGAAAUAACAUGCUAAUCAUUUUUAGAGGGCAAACUAGCUACCAUUUUUUUAAAUGGAGUGUGGCAUUGACCUCUGAGUCUGGAGCAAUUGUACUAAAAGUGUUUGAUAUUAACAAGUGACAACUAGCCAGACUGGUUACAUGUGAUGCGCUCCCUAGAGGCGCAACAGAGGCGAUAAACUCUUAGGUAUUUUUGGUAAAAUAAAUUUGUUCUUCUGUACAUUUUGUUGUACGAGCUAAAACAUGGCAAUUUAGACAAACAACACACUUCAGCCUCUGCUUAUAAUUGGAUUAAAGAUGCACAUCUGCCUUUUCUUGCGUUGUGCUCAGAGCAUAGAAUUUCAUUCUGUUAAUUCAUUGAUCGUGGCAGGAUUUAAACUUCUACAGGAAAUUAGUAGUGAUUGUUUGUACUGCAUUUCAAAGUUAGAACUAAAGGAGACACGGGCGUGACAAUUACACCAUUUGAAGGUCUAUCUUUUGCACAAUCUGAAUUUAUUAUUGUGUUGGCGAGCUAUGAAAGAACGGUGGUGCUGCAGCACUGAGGUACGUAUAUUACUUGCAAUGACAUGCAUUUGAUGGCCACCUUUACAGAAGCUCCUCUCUGGAAACAAGGAGCAAAUGACUAUUAUUUGAAAUAUGUUGUGCAUUAUUAUUUUUGGUUAUGUUCCAAAAUCCUAGAUGCAUAGCAAAGCACAUUAGUGGAUAUAUGAAUCAUUUUUGUCUACUGAUUCUUGUUCAAUUACUUUUAUGAAAGGCAAGGGUAUGCACUUUUCACUAUCAAUCUUGGAGUAAGACGCCUGCAUGUGAGGAGUAGUUGAUGAAAGCUAUUGGUUACCACACCUCUUAUUAGUGCCAAGUUGUAGCAUCUGAAUUGCUGUGGUGUUCUUUCAUAGUCUUUCUUAGCUUUAUUUAUUUUCCAUUGAUUGCUGACCUAGUGUUGUAAUUUCCCAUAACUGCAAACUAUCGGGCUAACAUAUUGGCAUCUGCCAGUAUUGCCCUUCAUAUGGAAAGACUGAAAAUGCUGAAGAACUGCCUGGCAAGCAUAUUGGCAGUAGACUUUCGGUGAGACUUCAGUUUCCAUCAUCAAAGUGCUCGUAAGAUUAGUUAAGUAGAAAAUGUUUUAUUAAAGGACUCAUAAAGCUUAUUUGGAAUUGGAUGAGGUUACUUUAUGGAACAACAACGUGUGAUAUGCUAAGUAAUAAACGGUUACAUAAGUUCAUUCAGGAGUUCACCAUCAAUUUGCUAUGGUUAUCAUAAGUCAUGGACUACUAAUGAUAUAAAUCUACAUAUUGACCUCUUAUUAUACCCUGAGUGCCAUCAAUUUCAAGAGAAUAACGAGGCAUGCUACCUGCUUUAUUCUUCCUUGCAUAACUAUAUAUGCAGCUGGACUUUAUCAUUUGUCACACUGAUUUAUACAGUGUAAUUAUGUAGCCACCCAUUGCGUCAAAACGAGCCUUCCUUGGUCCAGGGAGAUAGAGAAGGUGGCUCGUUCGCAAGUUCAAGCUGGCCAUGAGCGACGCUCUUAGUCGCUCCCAGCAAUGCACUGCGUGUUGGCUGGGAUCUUACCCAGAUAGUAUCUCCAGUACUGUAAUGGCAGAUUAUACUCCUGAUUAGUUGAGUGAUACAAUUUCUUUCCAAUUUUUUUUUGUUUUAGCCCAUGGUUAUUUGGUUAAAGAUUGUUAUGUUUUUUGUUCUCCCGUUGCAACGCACGAGCAUUUGUGCUAGUAAUCUACAAAACACAGUACAACGGCAGGUAUUGAGUCCUCCCUGUUGAUCGCCUCUUA